rnacentral:lncRNA from 1 species
UUAGGACACGGGGUUACAAAGUAACCUGCUCACCUAAUGUUUACGUUCGGAAUAAUUAUAUUAUUUGCUAAUUAAUAACCUUAUGUGGAACUCUGAAUCUGUGUCUCAUUUCGGAGUCUGCUACUGUCCACCAGAGGUCGCGUUUCAGUCACGGACGCAUGCUUUGAGAGCUUUCUGAAUAAAUGAAAUAUGUGGUUUUUCGCCAAGCACACCUGGAGUGCUUAAAUAUAAUAAUAUUAUGUUAAAUAUAAACAUAUUAUGGUGUUUUUAUGCUUUAGAAGAGUCAAAAACUGACAUACAGCGCCUUUAAAUUAGACGUACUAUUUCCUAACCCAAAACGAUAGUGUUUACAUUUCUACAAAAUGCUUUAUAAUUAAAGAACUUCUAGAUAUUUGGACUUGAAACAAGACAAAAAAGUAAGAAAAGCACUUUUUUUGCAGCGUAUAUAACCUGCUGUCAUGUCAUGCCUUAAUAUUCCUACAAUUAAAAAAAACAUUCAUCGGAUCAAAAAUUUGCAUCUCUUCCCUUCCACUUCAAAUAUACAUAUCUAGCAAUAACAUCCACAUUUGUAAGAUUAAUAAGUUAUUACAUUUGUUUUUUUUAUAUAUAAAUACAUACACAGAUACAGAAGGUGGCUUCGAAAUUGCUCGUGGUGCUUUCACAGCCUCCUACCAUCUAAAAGACGAUGUCGCACACACAGAUGAACAGGAAACAGUUCUUUUACGUUGCUGUUUUUGCGAAGUAAAAGCCCACGAAAUGCAUAAAAAGCUGCAUCGGUGAAUUUCCUGACUGUCCCGCACUCAUCGACACUCAAAUUCUCCACCGACGGUCACAACGAAACUCCAGCUUUACACACACACACACACCACACACACACACACACACACACACACACACCAGAGGGAAGUCACACUUAUUUUGGCUCUACAUUUCUGUCACAGAGAGGAGUAAAGAUAUAGAUUUAUAAGUCUUAUCAUCGGAGUACAUCAGAAUCUGCUGGUUCCAGGUUAUCACAGUGACUCUAAAAUAAAAAAUAAACGCUGAAGGACGUGGCUGACGUACAGUAAUGAUGAAUAUUUAACAACGUCUUGCUUCGUUUUCCCUUUCAAGUUGAGUCCGGCGUGUUUUAAGAGUCCAGCUAUUCUUACAUGAUCAUCAGUGCACCUUCAGGUAGAGAGGUAAAGAGUGGUAUUUGGGUGCGAUCCAGGAAAUAAAAGCAGUUUUAUAAACGUAACAUCAGCGAAAAGCAUGACUUCAGCGACAACAAAGCAGAACUGAUCUGGCUUCUCUCUUAAAUCUUUGCACAUGCACAUUAAACAUAUCAUAGUAUAUGUUGAUAUAGUAAAAUUGAACCAUAUAUGAUGUCCUUCAAGCUGAAACUGAAUAUUGAGCAGGGGGCGGGGCUUUAUUUUAUUAUGUUGAUGUACUUCAAACUGAAUUGAGUAGUGGGCGGGGCUUUAUUUUAGUAUGUUGAUGUAUUUCAAACUGAAUUGAGUAGUGGG